AUCUCAAAAAAAAAAUAAAAUAAAAUAAAAAUAAAAAAAUUAAAAAAGGCCAGGCGCAGUGGCUCACGCCUGUAAUCUCAGCACUUUGGGAGGCCGAGGUGGGAGGAUCACGAGGUCAGGAGUUCGACACCAGCCUGGCUAACAUGGUGAAAUCCCGUCUCUACUAAAAAUACAAAAAAAAAAAAAAAAAUUAGCCAGGCGUGGUGGCGGGCGCCUGUAGUCCCCAGCUACUCAGGAGGCUGAGGCAGGAGAAUGGCGUGAACCCCGGAGGCGGAGCUUGCAGUGAGCUGAGAUUGCACCACUGCACUCCAGCCUGGGCGACACAGCGAGACUCCGUCUCAAAAAAAAAAAAAAAAAAAAAAAAAGUUCUGAAAUCCAGUCUGACUGAUGUGGCGAAGUUAAAAAGUCAACCCCUUCCUUGCCUCCCCCACCGCAAAAAACCCUGGAGGUUUGUCUUAUGGCUGCUACAGGAACAUCAUCCUUACAGUUUCCUUAAGCUGGCAUUAAAAUUUGAAUAAUCUCAUAAAUGGAAUACAAAUUAAUGGGUUCUAUUACAACUAUUUUACAUAAUUGAUUUAACAGGAAGUAAUAUUAAUUUAUAAAAGUUGGCCAAUCUCACCCUUCCUGUUGUGCUGGCUAGUUUUUGCUAUAAUUGCCCUGAUUUCAGACAGGUGAGGAAAAGGUUAUUUUUAGUUUAACCUUUGGAACUAGGAAAUAGGGUUUUGAUUGGAAUAAAACAGCACUUUACUGAUGUUAUCUAAUUUAGUCACAAUAAAAACUUAAGAGAUAGAUUUCAUUAUCCACACUGAAGUAAACAAGGCUUAGAGACACUAAAUAAGAUGCCCAAGGUCAUGCAGCUGGUAAAGUGUGGUGAACCCUGGUUGGACUGGCUCUAAAGCCCUUGCUAAUUAACUAAUAAUCAUGCCCAGCGAGACAAUAAAUUUCUGUUUUCAAAACCACCCAGUUGGUGGUACUUUGUUAUGGCAGCUCCAAGAAACUGAUAUAUUAGGCUGGUGCAAAAGUAAUUGUGGUUUUUGCCAUUAAAAACAAAAAAAAAGCAAAAACCAUAAUUACUUUUGCACCAACCUAAUAGUAUCCAAUAAGGUAAACUAGAAAUCUCAGUGUCUCGAUGUUGGCCUUAUUAGAUAUUUUACAUAAUUUAGCAUGUUAUUAACAGGAUAUUCUCUGCUUGUUCUGUGGACACAUGCCAUCUCUUCAAAAGACAGUAAGGCAUCCUGACCAUGUCUCACUUUACAAUGAGCUAGUAUUUUGAUUAUUUACUAAAUAAUCAACAUUGAGCUGUACAUGCAUUAUUUUAUAUAUGCCUCACCACAACCUUUGAGGGUGUUGGUUUUAUUGUAACUGUCAUCCCUCUUGUAACAGAUAGAAAAACUGUGGCUCAAAAAGACCAAGCAAUGCAUUCAAGAUCACACAACUAGAAGCCUGGACUCAAAGCUGGGUCUGAGCAACAUCAAGUCUUCUGUGUGAACCACCAGACCCUACUACUUCUACUCAGGCUCCCCCUCACAGGCCCAGAAGGUGGUGCCAUGGUCAGUAAAGCACAGUUUUGCAAUAUUUUCAUUCUUUAAUCAAGUUGUACUGGCACUUGAUAUCAAACUCCAUAUAUUUUGAGGGUUUUAAAAAAAAUUGUAGGGUCACAUUAAAGAAACUAUUGAAGCAAUUUUUUAAAUGAUGGAUAAGAUUUUCUAAGGC
rnacentral:lncRNA from 1 species